AUUAAAAUGAGAAUUUAUUAAAUAACUUUGGUAUCUAUGAACGAGACGAGGAAAAUUAAUUAAUUAUUUGACGUUUAAAUCUGUUUAUCAGUAUUAUAUUUUAUGGGGGUUUACGAGGUAGAAGUUAUUGUAACGAUAUUGUAAAUACCGAGAAACCAGCUGAUCCUCCGUCAUUCGGCAAUGACACAAGUGGCACACUGCACGACGUCUCGAAGGUCAGCGAGUCUUCCGGAAUUAAGGUCAGCCGGGUAUAUAAGGAGCCGCGUCGCCACUCAGUUCCAUCAGAGGCAUUAAUAUAGGCGCGAGAUUUAAAUCAGACAAAAAUAGCUGUAGCUAUAAAUACGGUAAAAAUAAAUAUUUCUAGUAGUCGUGAGUGA